rnacentral:misc_RNA from 1 species
AUCAAUACCCAUUAUCAAUUUCUCAAAUUUCGAUGACCCAAAAGUUGCAGAAUCGAUCUGUGAUGCAGCUGAGAAAUGGGGUUUUUUUCAAAUAGUGAAUCAUGGAAUCCCAAUUGAAGUUCUUGAAAAUGUAAUUGAAGCUGGGCAUAAGUUUUUUGGAUUGUCUGUUGAUGAAAGAAGGAAGUAUUUGAAAGAGAAUUCACCUACUCAUACUGUGGAAUUGAAGACAAGUUUUAGCCCUUUUGCUGAAAAGGUUUUGGAGUGGAAAGAUUAUCUUUUUCAUAUCUAUGACUGUGAUGAUGAUGAUGAGAGCUCUAAACUGUGGCCUGCUGUUUCCAAAGAUCAG